GGGCCUUUCCCGCCUGUGUGGUGGGUGCGGCGCGGCCUCGCCUCACCGCCUCGGCGAGGGGUAGCCGGUCCCGUUUGUCUCGGCAGCCAGCUGAGUCUGUGGUGCGUGGGACCAGCGCCGCCGCAGAGGGCUGGCGCCAUUCUUAGCGGGGCUGCGCUUCAGGGGGCGGCGCAGGCCUGAGGAGCAUGUCACUGAACACCGCUCUGAGCUUGUGCAUCCAGCCUGAUGCUGUCUUCUGGCUGGCUGGGCAGGAGUGCUGGUGAAGGAGGUAUUUACUUUUCAGUUAAUACAACAUUACAGUUAUUGUCAUAAUGACCUUCAUCUGGGCCAAGCAGCUAGAGAGUUAAGCUAUAGAAAGAAUGCCAGAAAGGACUGCAGCAAGAAAAUGUGAGGUAUUUCUCCCUCGCUUUCCUGCCAGCCCUGAGCUGGGUCACCUUUCCUCAUCAUAUCCAUCAAACUCAUGUGACUUGGGAAGGAUGAAAAAUGGUUGGGAAGAGGCAGUGGUCAAUCCUGAGAACAUUAGAUACCUCCCUUCGGCUGUAAUAAACUCCUCAGCUCUGCCAGUGAUCACAGACUGAAUGAGUGGAGAGGCGAUGCAAGGUCUAUUACAACAGUGGCUGAUCUCGGUCGCGCAGAAUGAGAAGGAGAAGCUUGCUGCCUUCACAGGGAACCCCUGGCCCAGUGCUUUGGGACAUUGCACAGCAAGUUUAAUUUUGAUUCACGUUUUACUAUCAAAAAUAAUCUUGCAAAAACCUGGCUGAACUUCCUCAGAAGGAUGUUUGUUUCAGAAACAGCACCUUCCAGGCACCAAAGCUAUAAUACAAAUUAGUCUCAACUGUGUGAAGUGUUAAACCUACUGUUCUUGUGUUGCAGCUGUUCCUAGAUGAAGUCCCUCAAUGUACCUUUUCAUAAUUCGCCCUCUCUGUCCUGACUAUAGUUACGCUUCCCUUAAAAAAUGGUAUCUAUUACAGCGGAAAAGCAUUCAUAUUCAUUCUUCUAGUAGUCCAAAAACUUAAUUGAUAUAGCUACUACUGCUCUGAUUUUUUUACCGCGUCCAACUGUAGACAGUCAGGCAAAUGUACCAAAAUAUCUCAAGAAUGUGUGUAGAUAAUACACCGAGUGAAAGAAUUUCCACAAUAAAGGUGUGUGCAUUACAGUAGCCUUGAGAUAGGGCUGACUUCUUCCAAAACAAGUUCUUCAGGUUUUAUGUGACUAUUUAAUACACUUCUGUGUUCAAGAAAAUAACUCUUGCUCUUAGUCUGUACCAUGAAACCAGUAUAGCAGGAGGCACCAUGGGCUGGUGAACAGAUCAGGAGACAGAAGAUGUCUCUUCUAUCUGUUUAAAGAUUUUUCAGGGCCAUUUCAACUCCUACUUCCCCUUCUGCGAAGUGUUACAGCUACUAUUAAUUUUGCUAGUUAUAUGAGCAGAUUUUUUUAAACUGAAAGUCACUUUCUUCAAAGUAUAAGGUAUCUUUAAUAGAGAAGUCAUAAGUAUUAGGUGAACAAACUCAUUGUUUUCCAUAUGCCUGUGAAUGAAAAAGCUUCUGGGCAGUGUCACUGGAUGCAAAUAUUUGCAUUUUGUUCAUCUGUUUUAAAUGUGAAUGCUUUCUAUAUAUCAUCUGGAAGAAAAAAAAAUAUAUAUAUAUAUUCCUUUUAGAGAGGAUUGUCUUUCUAAAAAAUACUGACAAAGGGUAUCUAUAACAUGGCUUUUCACUUACUGCAUUUCUGUACCCUCUUCUGCCCCACAAGAUUCUGCAGUGUUCAAUGGCUUGCAGGCUCAAAGGUAAUUUCACUUAUCCUGAAAAGCAGCUCUAUCUAAGGUGAAGUCAGAACCACAGCACUGGACAAUAAGAUUUCUAGGUGAGGGAGUGACUAACCAUUUAUCCACUUGAAACUACCAGUACAUAUUUUUAAAGUAGGGGUGCUACCAGCAGAGUACAACUUACUGUCAAGUGAAACCAUGUGUGUAACAGAUGCUGGCAGUCUGAGUAUAAUACAUACCUCUGCAUCCAAAUCAUUUCUAGUCGUCUUUUUGUGAUGGGAUUGUGAAUUGCACUUUUUUGUUUUUGUAAUUAAAGGGUGGAACAGAUGGUGAGAACUUGAGGAGCUGCAUCCAUUAAACUAACGUAGAGAAUGUCUCCACAUUAUAAUUUAAUAUAAUGGGAUUUUACUUCAGUGAAAUAAAACUAUACAGUCUAGUGCUUGGGAAUGUUUACUAUAUGAGAAGCUUCACUGUUAAAAGAUUUCACUGAGUCAUGCUAUGACUGUCUGCCAAAUACCAAUCAUAUGACCAACCCAGUUAAAAAGGGGUGUUUCUUCGUGCCAAUAUAUUUCACAUGCCACCCUACAGUGAACCUUUUUUUGACUAUACACCUGUGGAUUUUAUGUAACACCAAAGGAGGACAAUGUAAUCUGACUGCAUAUGUUUAAAAAAGAGUAGCUAUUAGGAAGCACAAGGUAGCCAGUCUGGUGUUACGAAUGGUGUAACAAGAAGGGCUGGGUUUGACUUGAUUUAAGGCAGACAAUCCAAACCGAUCAUUGGUACUGGUAAAAAAACAAUGAAUGUUUUGCCAGUUUCAGGAAUCGAGAUGCUACUUUUUGGAUGACAAUCAACUUCAGUAGUUCAGAGAACAAACUUUCUCAUUUCUGUUGAGAGAGGGUUUCUAAUUACUCUAGUUAAGACAGAAAAAGAAAAUCCAAAAGUAGAGGCAUGAAUUUUAUAAGCAGCAAUGGACACUGCUAGGUUUUCCUAAAUCUCAGAAAAUAUUUAUACUUAACUGUAAAUAUUUGAGUGAAACUUGUCUAAGCUACAUUUUGGGAAUCCUGUAUUUUAUUACUGAAAUGUUUUUUAUCCAUGGAAAGUUCCAGCAAAUGUUUUGUACUAGUGAUUCUUUACUCCAGCAAGCUCCAGCUGUAGAUACAUAAUACUCGUCUCCCACGCAGCUCCACCACAGCUAGCAAUCAAUACAUUGUCUUCUGCAUACAAAGGCUAUUCCUCUAAUAAUCAGACACUGGGAUAGGGAUGAAAUCAUUAUGGAAAAUAGUGCUAGAAAGAACACAAAGACUCACAAUGGGCCCAAGUGUCUUUGCUGCAGCCCUCAAUCCAACUAAAAUACACUACAGAUUAACUUGUCUCAGUGACUACUGAAUAAGAAAGUUAAAGGGACGAGCACACAUACCAUAGAAAGUUUAAAUUACACUUCCCUUCAGUGUAAUUUGUGAAAUCACUGUUACGCUGCGUGGGAAUAACUGAGAGGUCACAGAGGAUUAUGUGGACAUUUAUAUUUCAUUCUGGCUUAAGUGUGUUCAAGUCCAGUGAUAUCAACAGAAUUGUUUCCAUCUUCAGUAAUGCUGCAUUUGCUUCUAGGACUAUUCUUUCUAAUGCAAGAAUAAUACAUUUAGUAACUGCAUGUAUUUAUCUCUCACUGAGAUCUCAGUUUUUCAGAUUUUCAGCAUUCAUCUACUGAAAUGUCAUUUUAGACAUACUGAAGCUUCUCCACCUGGUGUAUGGAAAUGAAAAAUAGGAUGGUUAAUAGUUUCAGAAUAUAACACAUCCCACCUCUCAGAACAAAGCAGAACAUUGCUUUAAUGGCAGCUAGUUUUGCCCCAGAACCUGAUACCUGGUACUUAAGUCUUUGCCUACCGCUGCAUGAGACGAGAUGUAUUACUCCCUUUUCCCUGCUUCCCUUCGUAAGGGAAGGAAAACUUUCACUAUACUUCCUCUAUAAGCUCUCAGUGGAGGAAUGUCCCCUGCACUGGCUGUUUCCCUCUUCUCUAACUAUUCACUUAUCCUUCCUCCCCUUCAAAAGGUAGGGGCUUCUGCUUUGGAGAAACAUUCAUACAGUUGAAGCAAAGCACUCUGGUGUUAGUGAGCAGUUUCUCCUUUGGCAUUGUGUGCUCUUCAAACUGCAGCAAAACGCAUUCUAUGAGAUAAUUAUCAGCUGUAUUCAGGUGACUCAAGGGAAGAGUCAAGUUCUGAAUUUUGAGAGGAUGUUUGUAUAUCUGAUGUAAUUUUGUCUCAUCGCAGUCUGCGUAAGCUUUCUAUGCAACAGAACAAAGGAAAGAAUUAACCAAUGGGUCCGAAAUAUUUACACUACGAAAAUAACUAUUUUGUUUCAACAGCUGGUGCAACUUUUUCUCAACUAAAUCUAAAGAAUGCCGUUGAACAGAGGUUUAAAAAGUACAGCUUUUACUAUCAGUAACACCGCACAACCAACAAGAAGGAAAAUCAGUUUGAAACACUUCAAAAUAAUGCUUGAUAAAAUCAUUAAAAACAAACAGAUAGAAACUGAUGGCAAAGAGCGGAACUCUUGGAGCUGCAGGGUUGGUCUAACUGUGCUAGAUCCUCUUGCGUAGCCCAUGGCUGGUGAUGCUGCAAUCUGGAUGUGCCUCCAGCUGCAUCAUAACAUCUAGGAUGUCUGGAUCUUGUUCUAUUGCUGUGUAACCUAGUUCACGGUUUUUGGCUCAUCUUCCUGAAUUGGUGCAGCGGGUGGGUGGAAGGUGAGUUAUUAUUUUAGCUCCCAGUUCUAGGGUAGGUAAGGGCCCCAGAGUUUUAUCUAAAUUAUACUGGAGAAAAUAUUCCCUUUAGGAGCACUCUGCUGGCUGAGGACUGUCCCAAAAUACUCCUCUAAUUUGCUAGAUAGGGGUUAUGAAUGGACUAUCAGUGUAGCUGUGGCAACUAUACAUCAACUCAAGGCUUUUUCACCUCCCAUGCUGCCCCUUUCUCUCUACAGCAAACGAUCUGUCCCUAUAUCUUUAUUUCCAAAUUGCAUUUAUGUGUGCUGCUCUACCCUUAGUGCUUCUGUGGAUGUGACUCGUGCACAAACAGAGCCUGAAGUUCUUACAGUUGUGCAGUUUUUGAGCAUGGAAUAGGAAACAAGAGACAGGUACCAUAAGAUCAUCAACUUAGAUCUUCUGGCCAGCCAGGAAAACGUAGCAUCUCUGACUACAUGUUCUUCCUCCAACACAUAACAUCUUCUCUGAGCAUAUCAGAAGAUCCAAGGGUUUUGCAGCCCAGCUCGUGUGGGUCCAGGCUCCCUGCCAGCAGUGUUUCCAGAGCUGAUUUUACCUUAUCUCACAUUCAUACCUUCUUCUUCUGCAUACCUGGAGGAUAUCACCUAAAUUUAAGACUGCCUGCCUAGAGCUUCUUAAAUUAAAGGGCCCACCUGAGAAAGGCAGGAUCCCUCUCCCAAUAAACAGCGACAUUCUUCCAUAAGCAGUUUAGAACAUCUGAUUGAAGAGUUUAAUUAUUGCCUAAUUGGGGUGAUGUGAAGCAUUGUCUGAGAAUCUCUUCUCUUCAUUGGCUGUUGGUAUGAAAACAGAUGCUUCUAACCUAAACAAAUAAAUCAGAUGUCUGAAAUAGAUGGGCUGAUACCCCUCUAAAUGCAUGGGAAGAGACCAGCUUCCUGUAUCACAUCCUAAUUCUGAAAGAAAAUCCUCUGCCCCUCCAUUUCCAAUUUGCUUCCAGCCGCCACAGCUGGAUGAUGGCAGCCACUUCCCAAGUGGGUCAUUUCAUAAUGUGCCUUUAGGCUGUCUCUGUGUGGUGCCUCUUAAACUUGGGACACCUAAAGAAACCUGAACAAACAUACUAGACAAAACAAAACAAAUCUUCCUGGAAGCUCUCAAAAUGAUUGUGAAAGGACUCUGAAGGGUUACAAAGACUUUUGACGACUCAAAGUAGCCGAAUGGAUAAAGUGCCUUCCCUUUCUUCUCUCAUACACUUCAAAACUCCAUUUCAUUUUAAGAAUUAAAUGUAGUUGUCAUCACUUAACACCUCCUGGAAAUAUAUCUUUAACACAAAGGCAACCCAUCAUCAACAAAAUCAGUGACUCUGGAGAUGUACACACACUUCCCACAACAACUAUCAGAGAUUUGGAAGGACAUAACAGGACCAGAGAGGGAUGGAGCAAACCCUCCCCAGCACUGUAAUUCAGCCAUGGGGGGAGAGCUUGGCCGCCGGGCUUUCCUUUUCCCCGUCCCCCACGAAUGAAUGAGAUCCUUCAUUUCUCUGAAGCAACUGCAUUUUCUAUUGCCAGAGAAAGGAUGAGUCAGAAAAGCCUGCUGCUGGUGAAAGCUUCGCUGGUCUUUACUCAACAGAGCGCUUCAUCAUUUUUUGUUUGAGUUUUCGUGGUGUUUAAUAGGUUAUUAGAAAUGCCUGGUAUCACCAACAGCAUUCUGGAUUUGUAAAAGAGCUUUUUGCUUGCCGUUUAUUUUAAGACAUAAUGAACAAGCUCUCCUUUUGGAAGAAGACAUUUUAGGUAUGCUCUUAAAAAUGAAAUAGAGCAAGCUAGUAAAAAAGAAAAUGUGUCUCAAUUAGAUUAUUCUUCCUCCAUCUGCUCUCUCAGAUCUUUUUAUGGCAGGAAAUUGCCUAUUGGAUUUUUGAUUUUGCUUAAUGGAAAUGGCAAAACCUAAAUCCAUUCCCGUUCCCACUGACA